rnacentral:sRNA from 1 species
CGAAAGCCAAUUCAAUCCAUUCAUAAAUUAUUCAAAUUCUACGUGUGAGUAACCGAGAGAAAGAGGCGCCGUGGGUGUCUGACAGACACGUAGUACACGUAAGCACGGAUCUCGGUUCCCGCAUGGCAGGCAGGUUGAUUCAAGGCAGUUCUCGUGAAUUUCAAACAUUUCUGAAUCUGUUUACUCGGGCAACCGCCUCCGCCUACACCCAUAGCAUGCCCGCACCGAAAUGGCGGCACUCGGCAUUCCUCCAAAGUGAGAACUUUUCGCGCAUUAAUGGAGGCUUAAGUCAUAUCAUCUGAAGUGGGCAUCACUUGAGAACACACAAAGCAUGUGGGGUAGAUCAAAGAAUCACAGCAGUUAAGUGGCAGAUAAUACGAAUCUGAAAUCACAUUAUAAAUGCCACAAAAUGUACCAUUUUUGCAAUAUUCUUAGGCUUCAGAGAGAACAAGGGAACUUUUCCCAAUGCUCUCUCUAAAACAGUGAUCGGCACGCACAUAUUCACAUGUCUUGGAGUCGUUUGUGUGCGUAGACAGCAGGCAAAACGGAAUAUUGUAUUGGGGCCAACAACUGUUAUACACGUGUACGUGAGGGGCAGCGCAGCAGCAGCGCACUUUCCUAUGCACAUAAGAUAGGGCCUUGCCGAUCGCUGAUCUAAAAGAGCCCAAUUUAAAAGUGUAUUCGUGCUUAAAAUAGGUUGCAUUUCAGCCAAACUAUGACUUAUGACAGUAGCUACCUGCUACAAAAAGCGUGUCCUUUACACUCCUUUUACGUAUGACUGGGACAGAAAACGAGGCAUACAUAUGCACAUAAACGAUAACCUUGAGAAGAGAGAUUCACUUAAUGAGAGAUACAGAUACAGUGGGAGAGCGAAUGAGCGUGAUGCAAAAAAAUUCGUCAAUCACACACAAGAAUGAUGACCGGCGAUGAUGUCAUAUACAUAUGUAUGUACUAGUCCCAGAGGCUGCACUGCACCACUCGACAGACAGCCCUGACAACCACUGCACUGGGGACGGGAACCAGCCUUCUGCCUGUCACAUAAGCAAUCCAAUCAAAACGAAGCUAAAUAAAUCACGUUAUCACGGGGAUCCAGCACUGAGGAAACGCUCGCCAUAUGGUCAAGAGUAGAGAGCUAAUAGAGACACAAAAAAAUCACUCGCAUAAGCAAAAUAUCAUGCAUAAAAUAUCAUACAAUAAUAUGAAUAAAAGGCCAAAUUUAAUUGAUGCCGCCGUCACCGCCUCCGCCCCACCUACCAGUGAUCAUAGCACGUUUUUAGCAGAGCUCUGGGUCUCAGUUUGGUGUGUGUUAUGGCGACAACAGCUAAAACCGUACGGAGCACGGAGAACUGCGAGGAGAGGAGAAGAGAGGAGAGUAGAGUAGAGUGGAGGUUUUUGCAUACAGACGCACACAUGGGUCAAAAAUGAUCUCAUGUAUUCGAAACGAGAAGCUCUGUGGAAACAUGCUGCUGCCUGUCUCUCUGGGCAUGGGCAUGGGGGAGUAGGCGGGGCGCUACGAGAUCGGGAUCGAGAUCGCGAAACGCCAUAGAGCUUCUGUCCAAUCGCCAAUAGAUGGGGUGGAGGGGGAAUACGUAAGGGGGGCGAUUUACGGCGCAAACAUAAAAUAAACAAAUCGCAAGCGAGUGAACAACAAGUUUGAGAUCGGGGGAAUAAAAAGCGAAGGUGUUGUUCUUGUCGUUCCGAAAUUACCGAAAAUCAAAUUGAAACGUAGGCGAGAAGUGUAUACAUAAUACAUACAUACAUACAUUUGUAUGUACUAUUUUCUAUAUGGAGCAUGUUCUGUCCGUGACUGAUCAUCAUGCUGGUGACGCUUCUCCCCGACACCCACGC